rnacentral:rRNA from 1 species
AUUGAACGCUGGCGGCAGGCCUAACACAUGCAAGUCGAACGAGUGGCGGACGGGUGAGUAAUGUCUGGGAAACUGCCUGAUGGAGGGGGAUAACUACUGGAAACGGUAGCUAAUACCGCAUACCAUCGGAUGUGCCCACGUGGGAUUAGCUAGUUGGUGGGGUAACGGCUCACCUAGGCGACGAUCCCUAGCUGGUCUGAGAGGAUGACCAGCCACACUGGAACGGAGACACGGUCCAGACUCCUACGGGAGGCAGCAGUGGGGAAUAUUGCGCAAUGGGCGCAAGCCUGAUGCAGCCAUGCCGCGUGUAUGAAGAAGGCUUUCGGGUUGUAAAGCACUGUCAUCGGGGAGGCGUUACUUGCCGAAGAAGCACCGGCUAACUCCGUGCCAGCAGCCGCGGUAAUAC